rnacentral:lncRNA from 1 species
CUGCUCGUGUCUUCAGGGAUCAUCAUCAUCAUCGAAAGUUCAUGUCAUAAAAUGAAUCUCGAUUAGAAACUCAUUGACUAACUCACAAGCCUUAACUCAUGCUCUAUCUCAUAUUCUAUCUCCUUACUCACUUUAUAUAAACUCUCCACUCAUCUCACAUCCUUAAGUUCAAGGAUAGGUUUCAAGAAAAUCAUGGUUCUAAGUCUCGAUUUAUCUCACAUAUAAGGCUCGUCUAAUCUCAUUUAAACACAUAGGCAACACAAUCACAUAAGGCACAUAAGAAAACACAAUCAAACAUCAUCAAAACAUGCUCUGUUUUUACACUGACCCAACUUCAAAAUUUAAACUGUUCUGACUCCGACAUCUCCUGGACUCAAGACUCAUACCAAAAGAAAGAUAUACGAGUCUAGUUUCAUUUAAAAAAAAGUAGAGUCGAAAACUCCAAGUGAUUUGAGAGAUAUGACGUUUUUACCAUGAUCUACCAUUUCUGGCAGUUUUGUGCAACCGAAGGUUACAAUUUUUCAAAAAUAGUAAACGUUGUCAAACUGGGCUCAUCUUCGGUGGAUAUCUAGCUAACACAAUAAGGUUGAUACCAUAAAAAUUUGGAAAGCUAGAUCACAUAGGAAGCUACUGAAAUGAAAGACUCUUUCCCCUGUUUUCUUAAAUUCUCGGUAAUAAAGUGCAGUUUAAGUUUUGCAUUUUAAAGAAAUAUCAAACGAAGUUUAAAAGACUUGAAAUUUUACCAGGGUACUCAAGACUCAUGUAGGGACUUGCUAUAAAAUUUUCAAAGCUAUUGGAAAUCGAAAACCCGUCGAUCACAGUAGGUCAGUAGGCCUACGAAAUUUCUCCAACUUGAACUCAAAAAUCAUAUAUCUCAAAAACAUUUCUAACUUGAAUAUAACAUCACAAUUCUCAACAACAAAUUCAUUUCAUCACACUUCUAAUCAUCAAUCUAUACCAUCACUUAACAUCAUAGCAUGCUCAAGAACUCAUAUAACCACUCAAAUCUUUAAAUCAACAUCAUAUAACAAAAUCACAUAUAGAACACAUAUAUGUCAUCUUCUUCCUCAAACUAACAUUUUUCAUUUUUCACUUCUCAACCUCAAGCUUCAAUCUCAUCCAUCAUUAAUCAUCUAGAUCAUCUCAUAAACUCAAAUCCAUCAUCAUAUAACUCAAGCCAAUUCAAGAAAAUAAACAACAAAAUUCGUAGGGUUUCAAGCUCCUAAUUUUCGAAAAUUUCAUAAAAAUAAGUUUGGUGAUUUUCUAGCUCAAUCAUGAUCAUAUACUCAUUCACAUAUCAUUAAUAUGAUCAAAUAAAUAAUCUAAGAUCACUUACUCAAGGAUUUAAAAGGUGAUCAAGACUUUGCUCCAACUUUGAUCUUAGCUCUAGCUUCUUGAAUUUGAUGAGAUAUGAUAGUAUUUGAUUGGAUUGGAUGGUGGAUUAUCUCAUAGUAGUGUUUGAUGAAGCUUCUCUAAGCUUUCUUUAAUGGACAUCAAUGGAGAAAAAGAGAGUAUAGAGAGAGAGAGGGGAGGCCGAGAAUGGGGAGGAGAAGGGAGGGUGUGCGUGAGUUUUUUGUAGAGUUAGG